UAGAAGAAACCUGGAAGGGAAGGGAUCAGGUGUAAGUAAAGCUCCUGACAAGGAGUGUCUUGCAGGCUUCUGCUCCUUCAGUUCCUCACACAGCAUUGGGAUAGUUUUAUUUUACACUUUCCAUUUAACCUUCAGAUCAUCAAAACCCAUCUUUGCCACCUGCACUGAGUGGGGAUAAUUCCACACUGUACAAACAGCCCCACUGAUGUUUGUGUUUGCUUGCUGGGGGGGAUUUGAACCCAUUACUUUAAAGCACAGUGAUGGGAUUUGUGCUUUUCGGUUUUAUUUUAUUUUCCCAGAUGUGAUGUAAACUCUCUGUGGACUCUUCCUUGUGCUUUGCCCAAGUGCUGUGGUCCUGCUUAUUUCAGUGUUCAGUGAUCUCAGCUCUCCUGUUCUGAAGGCAAAUGGACAUGGUGCUGUACAGGUCUUUUCGUUCCUUCUUGCUGCACACUGGCAUACCAAGUGAAUAAGCUGUUCACCUGAGCUCCCAGCUGGAACCCAGUUUGGCCCAGAGCCUGAACCAGCCAACACUGUGGGCAAGAGCCAGGCACAGGCAAGAGGCCAGUUAAGCCAGGACACUCUAAAUCCAUCUGAUGCCACUGAGCUCUUGUUUGUAUUGGCUGAAGAACCAAAGUGCCCAGAUAAGGGGGCCUGGCAGCCCAGCCCAGACCUUCUGCACUCUUUAGAACUCAGGUUUUAAAGGUGCUGAACACGUGGUGGACAGUAUUGGGGGUUGGAACU